rnacentral:rRNA from 1 species
UUGACGGAGAGUUUGAUCCUGGCUCAGGACGAACGCUGGCGGCGUGCUUAACACAUGCAAGUCGAACGAUGAUGCCCAGCUUGCUGGGCGGAUUAGUGGCGAACGGGUGAGUAAUACGUGAGUAACCUGCCCUUGACUCUGGGAUAAGCCUGGGAAACUGGGUCUAAUACUGGAUACUACCUCUUACCGCAUGGUGGGUGGUGGAAAGGGUUUUACUGGUUUUGGAUGGGCUCACGGCCUAUCAGCUUGUUGGUGGGGUAAUGGCUCACCAAGGCGACGACGGGUAGCCGGCCUGAGAGGGUGACCGGCCACACUGGGACUGAGACACGGCCCAGACUCCUACGGGAGGCAGCAGUGGGGAAUAUUGCACAAUGGGCGGAAGCCUGAUGCAGCGACGCCGCGUGAGGGAUGACGGCCUUCGGGUUGUAAACCUCUUUCAGUAGGGAAGAAGCGAGAGUGACGGUACCUGCAGAAGAAGCGCCGGCUAACUACGUGCCAGCAGCCGCGGUAAUACGUAGGGCGCAAGCGUUGUCCGGAAUUAUUGGGCGUAAAGAGCUCGUAGGCGGUUUGUCGCGUCUGCUGUGAAAGCCCGGGGCUCAACCCCGGGUCUGCAGUGGGUACGGGCAGACUAGAGUGCAGUAGGGGAGACUGGAAUUCCUGGUGUAGCGGUGAAAUGCGCAGAUAUCAGGAGGAACACCGAUGGCGAAGGCAGGUCUCUGGGCUGUUACUGACGCUGAGGAGCGAAAGCAUGGGGAGCGAACAGGAUUAGAUACCCUGGUAGUCCAUGCCGUAAACGUUGGGCACUAGGUGUGGGGGACAUUCCACGUUUUCCGCGCCGUAGCUAACGCAUUAAGUGCCCCGCCUGGGGAGUACGGCCGCAAGGCUAAAACUCAAAGGAAUUGACGGGGGCCCGCACAAGCGGCGGAGCAUGCGGAUUAAUUCGAUGCAACGCGAAGAACCUUACCAAGGCUUGACAUUCACCGGACCGCCCCAGAGAUGGGGUUUCCCUUCGGGGCUGGUGGACAGGUGGUGCAUGGUUGUCGUCAGCUCGUGUCGUGAGAUGUUGGGUUAAGUCCCGCAACGAGCGCAACCCUCGUUCUAUGUUGCCAGCACGUGAUGGUGGGGACUCAUAGGAGACUGCCGGGGUCAACUCGGAGGAAGGUGGGGAUGACGUCAAAUCAUCAUGCCCCUUAUGUCUUGGGCUUCACGCAUGCUACAAUGGCCGGUACAAAGGGUUGCGAUACUGUGAGGUGGAGCUAAUCCCAAAAAGCCGGUCUCAGUUCGGAUUGAGGUCUGCAACUCGACCUCAUGAAGUCGGAGUCGCUAGUAAUCGCAGAUCAGCAACGCUGCGGUGAAUACGUUCCCGGGCCUUGUACACACCGCCCGUCAAGUCACGAAAGUUGGUAACACCCGAAGCCGGUGGCCUAACCCCUUGUGGGAGGGAGCCGUCGAAGGUGGGACUGGCGAUUGGGACUAAGUCGUAACAAGGUAGCCGUACCGGAAGGUGCGGCUGGAUCACCUCCUUUCUAAGGA